ACUCCGGUGGCUUAGUGGUUUGAGCGCCCGUCUUGGAUGCGGGAGGUCGCGGAUUCGAUCCCAGGCCGAAUCA